GAUGAACGCUGGCGGCGUGCCUAACACAUGCAAGUCGAACGGAGAUUACGGACGGAAGUUUUCGGAUGGAAGUUUGUAAUUCUUAGUGGCGGACGGGUGAGUAACGCGUGGGCAACCUGCCCUAUACAGGGGGAUAGCAGCUGGAAACGGCUGGUAAGACCGCAUAAGUCAGUUAAAUCGCAUGAUUUGAUCGGGAAAUGAGCAAUCAGGUAUAGGAUGGGCCCGCGUCCGAUUAGCCAGUUGGCAGGGUAAAAGCCUACCAAAGCGACGAUCGGUAGCCGGACUGAGAGGUCGGACGGCCACAUUGGGACUGAGACACGGCCCAAACUCCUACGGGAGGCAGCAGUGGGGGAUAUUGCACAAUGGAGGAAACUCUGAUGCAGCGACGCCGCGUGAGUGAAGAAGUAUUUCGGUAUGUAAAGCUCUAUCAGCAGGGAAGAUGAUGACGGUACCUGA
rnacentral:rRNA from 1 species